rnacentral:rRNA from 1 species
UGGGGAAUAUUGCACAAUGGGGGAAACCCUGAUGCAGCGACGCCGCGUGAGCGAAGAAGGUUUUCGAAUCGUAAAGCUCUGUCCUAUGGGAAGAUAAUGACGGUACCAUAGGAGGAAGCCCCGGCUAACUACGUGCCAGCAGCCGCGGUAAUACGUAGGGGGCAAGCGUUGUCCGGAAUCACUGGGCGUAAAGGGUUCGCAGGCGGAAAUGCAAGUCAGUUGUGAAAGGCAGAGGCUCAACCUCUGUAAGCAAUUGAAACUGUAUUUCUUGAGAUGUGGAGAGGCAAGUGGAAUUCCUAGUGUAGCGGUGAAAUGCGUAGAUAUUAGGAAGAAUACCGGUGGCGAAGGCGACUUGCCGGACACAAACUGACGCUGAGGAACGAAAGCGUGGGUAGCAAACAGG